rnacentral:lncRNA from 1 species
UAAAUUUCUAUGCAGCAAAUCUAUUGAUGAUACAAGGGGGCUUCGCAAAUAAUGGUUAUGGACUUCAGAAGGCCCAAUGGAUCAGCUUCAGAACCAGUGGAAGGAGGGUGGAGCUGACAGAACAGGUGACUUGCUGCUUCAAGCUGACCUCUGAAGCGAGUAUACACAGGCCACUUGUACAUUCUUCAUCAAAUCAUUAAGAAGUCAAAUGAAAAUGACCAACCACUUUCUCUGACAUUUAUUAUAUAUAUGAAAGGCAUUUAGGAGAUGUAAAGACCAGGCAAUUGUGAAACAACUAUAAAGAUGCAAGACUGAAAGCCUCAAGCGUGACAUUCAGCUGCUCAGUUAUGCCAGCAAAAUGGAUUAGUAGAAGAUUCUAAGUUAUGGUGACUGAGUGAAGGAGAUGAUUGCUGGAAGAAUUAAAGCUGGCUGUCUGGAAGGAAUUUAGGAAGACGUAGUGGUUAUAUAAUACUGAAAUCCUAGGAAACUGGAGAGUAUGUAUUCUUGGCUUAUCAUUUAUUUCUGUUUGGAAAUGAUGGGGCAUUAUGAAGCUUUCCUAGAAGUUCCUAAAGGAGAAGUCAAGCAGCAGACACAUCUUCAUAAUGAUUCAGAAGACCUUCAGCUUACGGAGUGAAGCUUUACUGUGAACGGAGAGUAUUAUGCAGACAUAGCCUGCAGAGGAACUGCUGGGCAGAUUGGUGUCCAUAUGAAUUCCUUUGGCAAGAGGUACUAAAAGUUCU